AGGCGCAUAGCUCAGGGGUAGAGCGCUACCUUGACACGGUAGAGGUCAGUGGUUCAAAGCCACUUGCGCCUA
rnacentral:tRNA from 1 species